GUACAUCACUGGUUAGAGAGAUCAGAAGAGUCUGGAUGGGGUAGGUAACAUCACUGGCUAGGAAGAUGAGGAGAUUCUGGAUGGGGUAGGUAACAUCACUGGCUAGGGAGAUAAGGAGAUUCUGGAUGGGGAAGGUAACAUCACUGGCUAGGAAGAUGAGGAGAUUCUGGAUGGGGUAGGUAACAUCACUGGUUAGGGAGAUGAGGAGAUGGUUGAUGGGGUAGGUAACAUCACUGGCUAGGGAGAUAAGGAGAUUCUGGAUGGGGAAGGUACAUCACUGGCUAGGGAGAUGAGGAGAUUGUUGAUGGGGUAGGUAACAUCACUGGCUAGGGAGAUAAGGAGAUUCUGGAUGGGGAAGGUACAUCACUGGCUAGGGAGAUGAGGAGAUUGUUGAUGGGGUAGGUAACAUCACUGGUUAGGGAGAUAAGGAGAUUCUGGAUGGGGUAAGUAACAUCACUGGCUAGGGAGAUAAGGAGAUUCUGGAUGGGGUAGGUAACAUCACUGGCUAGGGAGAUAAGGAGAUUCUGGAUGGGGUAGGUAACAUCACUGGCUAGGAAGAUGAGGAGAUUCUGUACGGGGUAGGUAACAACACUGGCUAGGGAGAUAAGGAAAGUCUGGAUGGGGUAGGUAACAACACUUUUGUGCUUUUAAGAAUAAUUCACUGAAUUAUGAUAUAUUCUUCUUUAUGAUUUCUCAAUAAUACAGGUUAUCUGUUAACUCUAAAUAAUCUUUGUCUGUCAUA